GAUGAACGCUGGCGGCGUGCCUAAUACAUGCAAGUCGAGCGAACAGACGAGGAGCUUGCUCCUCUGACGUUAGCGGCGGACGGGUGAGUAACACGUGGAUAACCUACCUAUAAGACUGGGAUAACUUCGGGAAACCGGAGCUAAUACCGGAAUAAUAUAUUGAACCGCAUGGUUCAAUAGUGAAAGACGGUUUUGCUGUCACUUAUAGAUGGAUCCGCGCCGCAUUAGCUAGUUGGUAAGGUAACGGCUUACCAAGGCAACGAUGCGUAGCCGACCUGAGAGGGUGAUCGGCCACACUGGAACUGAGACACGGUCCAGACUCCUACGGGAGGCAGCAGUAGGGAAUCUUCCGCAAUGGGCGAAAGCCUGACGGAGCAACGCCGCGUGAGUGAUGAAGGACUUCGGAUCGUAAAACUCUGUUAUUAGGGAAGAACAAAUGUGUAAGUAACUAUGCACGUCUUGACGGUACCUAAUCAGAAAGCCACGGCUAACUACGUG
rnacentral:rRNA from 1 species